rnacentral:rRNA from 1 species
AUUGAACGCUGGCGGCGGGCCUAACACAUGCAAGUCGAACGAGUGGCGGACGGGUGAGUAAUGUCUGGGAAACUGCCUGAUGGAGGGGGAUAACUACUGGAAACGGUAGAUAAUACCGCAUACCAUCGGAUGUGCCCAGAUUGGAUUAGCUAGUAGGGGGGGUAACGGCUCACCUAGGCGAAGCUCCCUAGCGGGUCUGAGAGGAUGACCAGCCACACUGGAACGGAGACACGGUCCAGACUCCUACGGGAGGCAGCAGUGGGGAAUAUUGGACAAUGGGCGCAAGUCUGAUGCAGCAAUGCCGCGUGUAUGAAGAAGGCCUUCGGGUUGUAAAGUACUGUCAGUGGGGAGGCGUUACCCGCAGAAGAAGCACCGGCUAACUCCGUGCCAGCCGCCGCGGUAAUAC